UGAUUUCUAUGAUUAGCUUUGAAGCUCAU
rnacentral:piRNA from 1 species